GUGAACGCUGGCGGUAGGCCUAACACAUGCAAGUCGAACGGCAGCACAGUAAGAGCUUGCUCUUACGGGUGGCGAGUGGCGGACGGGUGAGGAAUACAUCGGAAUCUACUUUUUCGUGGGGGAUAACGUAGGGAAACUUACGCUAAUACCGCAUACGACCUACGGGUGAAAGCAGGGGAUCUUCGGACCUUGCGCGAUUGACUGAGCCGAUGUCGGAUUAGCUAGUUGGCGGGGUAAAGGCCCACCAAGGCGACGAUCCGUAGCUGGUGUGAGAGGAUGAUCAGCCACACUGGAACUGAGACACGGUCCAGACUCCGACGGGAGGCAGCAGUGGGGAAUAUUGGACAAUGGGCGCAAGCCUGAUCCAGCCAUACCGCGUGGGUGAAGAAGGCCUUCGGGUUGUAAAGCCCUUUUAUUGGGAAAGAAAAGCAGCAGGUUAAUACCCCGCUGUUCUGACGGUACCCAAAGAAUAAGCACCGGCUAACUUCGUG
rnacentral:rRNA from 1 species